rnacentral:rRNA from 1 species
CUACGGGAGGCAGCAGUGGGGAAUCUUGCGCAAUGCGCGAAAGCGUGACGCAGCAACGCCGCGUGGGGGAAGACGGCCUUCGGGUUGUAAACCCCUUUCAGUUGGGACGAAGCUUCGCCGGUGAACAGCCGGCUGGAGUGACGGUACCUUCAGAAGAAGCCCCGGCUAACUACGUGCCAGCAGCCGCGGUAAUACGUAGGGGGCAAGCGUUGUCCGGAAUCAUUGGGCGUAAAGAGCGUGUAGGCGGCCCGGUAAGUCCGCCGUGAAAGUCCAGGGCUCAACCCUGGGAUGCCGGUGGAUACUGUCGGGCUCGAGUCCGGAAGAGGCGAGUGGAAUUCCUGGUGUAGCGGUGAAAUGCGCAGAUAUCAGGAGGAACACCAAUGGCGAAGGCGGCCAUCUGGGCUAAAACUGACGCUGAGGCGCGAAAGCGUGGGGAGCAAACAGGAUUAGAUACCCGAGUAGUCC